GACGAACGCUGGCGGCGUGCUUAACACAUGCAAGUCGAACGGAAAGGCCCUGCUUGCAGGGUACUCGAGUGGCGAACGGGUGAGUAACACGUGGGUGAUCUGCCCUGCACUUCGGGAUAAGCCUGGGAAACUGGGUCUAAUACCGGAUAGGAGCCAUUUUUAGUGUGAUGGUUGGAAAGUUUUUUCGGUGUAGGAUGAGCUCGCGGCCUAUCAGCUUGUUGGUGGGGUAAUGGCCUACCAAGGCGGCGACGGGUAGCCGGCCUGCGAGGGUGGACGGCCACAUUGGGACUGAGAUACGGCCCAGACUCCUACGGAGGGCAGCAGUGGGGAAUAUUGCACAAUGGGCGCAAGCCUGAUGCAGCGACGCCGCGUGGGGGAUGCCGGCCUUCGGGUUGUAAACUCCUUUCGCUAGGGACGAAGCAUUUUGUGACGGUACCUAGAGAAGAAGCACCGGCUAACUACGUG
rnacentral:rRNA from 1 species